rnacentral:lncRNA from 1 species
GUUAGCCAGAGGAUUUCCAGGUGGAGACAGACUCAUCCUAUUUUGCACAUGACAGGAUUUUUGUCGUGACUUUCCUAAAUUCUCACUGUGCCAAGCAAGCAAGAAAGUGCCCACAGGAGUGGGAGGGAAAAGACACAUGGGAUGGCAGCAAGGAAACCUGCCUAGAGGAGCCAGCCAUCCCGUCUGUCCCCUCACUUCCUUCCAGAGAGAACGUCUUUCCUUGACAGCGCCUGCCUCCUGUCAUUUCAUCCCAACACUUUGCCCAGCCCGGGAAAUCUGGAUUUUCUUUUUAAAGAAAGAUGUCUAGAGAGAAAAAUAGAAAAUGAACAGCCA